GGCCGAUGAUGUUAUAAAAUAUUUGCUACUCUUGAUGGGAAUCACCCAUUUGAUGAUAUUUUUCCACCAAGAUCUCUGAGGCU
rfam:Lupinus angustifolius cultivar Tanjil contig_28087, whole genome shotgun sequence.